CACGUAGGGUGCGAGCGUUGUCCGGAAUUAUUGGGCGUAAAGAGCUCGUAGGCGGUGUGUCGCGUCGGCCGUGAAAACCUGCAGCUUAACUGUGGGCUUGCGGUCGAUACGGGCAUCACUGGAGUUCGGCAGGGGGAGACUGGAAUUCCUGGUGUAGCGGUGAAAUGCGCAGAUAUCAGGAGGAACACCGGUGGCGAAGGCGGGUCUCUGGGCCGAUACUGAC
rnacentral:rRNA from 1 species